CUGGUCUCAGGAGCCUUUUCUGUGGGAUCCAAGGAGGGAUGGAGAGGGGGGCCCCCUGCCACCAGCCUUACACUUGGCUCCUGGGCCCAGUCCACACCAGCGUCCUGGGAAUGAGCCUCAAUUUUGAGCUGCCUGAAAACUUGGGACAGGUGGCUCCCCUGCAGCAGCAGAGCCGGGCUAGGUGAGAAGGAAAGUGCUAGAAGGACUUGAGUGCUGUAGGUGGGUGGGUGCGUCUGGCACAGGGACAGAGAGAGGAGGAUAUUCCUCCAUGAAAUAACAGGUGGGUGGAGUCGGGGCGUGUGGGAGCGGGAGGUCACGGGGUCACGUCGUGACGCAGCUGGGGCGCAGUUCGGGAUUGGCCAGGCAGGGAAGGGGCGGAGGGAACGCUGGUUGCCAGGGCUGGAGUGCAGCAGGGGGCCUGGUCCUGAGGGGUGAAGCGCGGGCUCCUGCGCCCUUUGGCUGUGAGGACGCUCCCGUGGUCCUCUCUCAAGGACACCCUUAAACAGUUUAGUGUGUGAGUACCAGCUUUAGAAGAGGCCGCACGGAGAUCGUGGUGGAGCGAGGCAAAAAGAAGAACGCUCUGCACUCAUGUCUGAAUGAACUAAAAUAAAAUCUUAAGCCCUCCAGCUGUGACAGAAUGGACACCCUGUUGGCAAAGGGGACUGCGGAAAAACCUGAGGCUGAGACACUGGCUACGAAGAGAUGGUGCUCAGACCUGAGGUUCAAAGAAGACUCAGGAUUCCGUGAAGGCCCAACAUCGGCUCCAGGUAGCAGCAGGGCCCCUGGAGCCACCUGGCUACGAGCUUUCCCUUGGGUGGAACAGGCUUUACCAUCCUUUUUGAUCAAAGAGAUUUUGUAUAUUUCGGAAUUUUUGUAAGAAGACACGUGCUUUCAUCUCUCCAGCAAGGCCCCUAUGAAGUACGGUUAGCCACCUAAACUGCCAUCAAAAUAAAAGAAAAAUUAUCCCAGAGUCAUGCAAGCUACACCAAACUGCACCAAGACAGCUGGAAGCCCAGCCCUAUAGGUGAUCUGAAAGUAAGAAUUUCCAGGUCUAAUUCCCAGGCCCCUCAAGCAGGCAUCUUCAGUAAGUAGAUAGGUUUUUCCCAAUAUUUUGGAUGAAGAAACCACAUUUUUUAUCUAAAAACUCCUUUUUUUUUCUGUUUUUUGUUUCUAUUUUUAUCUCCUCCCCACACAAAAGGUCCUUUAUGAAUACUCUUUCUUUUAAACCUCCCCUUUCGAGGAUUACACAUUGGAAGCUGAAUGGAGACUGCCUCAACCUAUCCCAAUUUCCCUUUUAAUCUUCCACUGUGACUUUUCUUUCAAACCGUGUCUCGCUCUUGCUAACUCUUACUGCUUUUCCAGCUGGUCAGACACAGACCCUGCGUCCCUUUGCACCGGUCUUUCUAGCCCUGGCCACAGGAACUGAUCAAUCUGAUUGCUAGCUAUGCCAACAUGCAGACCAUACAAAGGAAUCCGACCUCAUUGUUGUUUCUGCCAAUGUGAGUACCUGGUGGAAUUGCUCUGGAAGAGGAUGUAGGACAAGAAGGGGCACCCACAACCAGAGGAAACGUAUUAUGGUACUUGUCCUGUUGGUGAGUUGACUGAACAUGGAAAAAGUGUCUUUUGCUCUCAGGUAAGGUCACUAGAAAGAAAAUUUUUAUCUUGUCUGGGUGACAUUCUAGGGCAAUACUGUGAUCAAACCCCAUGGUUUGAUUUUACAGAUGGCAUUCUUGCACGUCUUAGAUGAGUCUGAUACCCUCAUGAUGUCAACGCUUGUUAAAUAAUCACGUGUUAUGAACAGCUCACAAGCCCCUGCAACUUGGGACUCUGCAUCCUGGAGACCUACUGACACCAACCAGACCCAUGGAUAGACGAGGGAAUGGAUCCAACAGCCUUGAAAGUCUCUACCCAGGAAACCUACCGACUGAGAAGAUAAUUUCUGCAUUCCAACCCUACGAGCUCAUCCCUCACCAAUCUGCAGACCCCAUUCCCCAGCCCUUUGCUCACCAAACUACCUUUAAAAACCCUUUCUCACAAAUUCUUGCAGAAGAUGGAUUUGAGAAAUUAUUCCCCUCUCCCCUCAUGGUGCCUGUGAUAAUAAAACUCUUUCUCUGCUGUAACCCCUGCUGUCUCAGCGUGUUGACCUCCUCUUGAGCAGCAGGCAAGGAACCUGGUUGGGCUGUAACAGAAACUGGAGAUGCAGAAGCGCCAAUGAGAAAGAAGUACAGCAAAGGCCAGACUGGGAAGUCACAGGCUCCAACCUGACCCUCUCUGUAAAUAGCACUGGUCUUUUUGUUGUGUGUGGCGAUAAAGUGUACAGUGGUCCCUACCUAGAUGGCCAGGCCACUAUGGACUUUGUUAUCUGACAUCUCUGUUACCAGGUAUUCCACUUUAAAUGCCAGCCGAACUGCAAACUUGGACUCUUUUGUUCAUAAAGUGGUACCACAUAAACGUGCUAGGUGCUAUAUUAUUUUAAAAAUCACCUGUAUGUCACAAUUCUAAGUGCUUUUUGGUGCUCAGAACUCUUUUCCCAGCAUUCGGAACUCAUGCGAUCGAAAAGGCAGUUUUGAAUCUUCCCAAGGUAAUAGAACAAGAGUUCAAUGUCACUCUGCAAGCACUGGGAACACUUCACUUCGAAGUCAACAGCUUAGACACUGUUGUAUUCCAAAACCUUGUGUUCUGGAUACCCUGACAGCUCAACAGGGAGGAACUUGUGUGGUUAUUGGCAAAAAAAAUGCUAUUUCUACAGAAACUACUCUAGGCAAGUAAGGACUAAUCUAUACCUCUUAAAAGAAAAGAUAAAUAUUCUUCAUCAGAUUAAUGAAGACCUAUUCCCCAAAAUGGGAGACAGGUUUGAUGGGGUGUGGAGAAAUGUAUUUAGAUCUGCUCUUUUCUACUUAUUUAUUUUCAUUUUAAUCCAUGUUCUUGUCUCUUUUUUCAGCUCUCUUGUUACUUGACUGCUGCUAACCAGAUCUCUGUCUCCAUAGUCACCUGCUUGGCUUUUAAUGAGCGAAAUUUCUAGGGAAGUUCCAGAUGGGGGCAAUGAAGGAGCUCAGGAAAUUUCGUCCCAGAAUAUGACUCCUUGGUAUAAAGAAUAUUUUGC